rnacentral:rRNA from 1 species
UACGGGGGGGCAAGCGUUGUUCGGAAUUACUGGGCGUAAAGGCGCGUAGGCGGCCUGCUAAGUCGGAUGUGAAAUCCCUCGGCUCAACCGAGGAACUGCAUCCGAUACUGGCGGGCUUGAAUCCGGGAGAGGGAUGCAGAAUUCCAGGUGUAGCGGUGAAAUGCGUAGAUAUCUGGAGGAAUACCGGUGGCGAAGGCGGCAUCCUGGGACCGACAUUGACGCUGAGGAGCGAAAGCCAGGGGAGCAAACGGG